rnacentral:rRNA from 1 species
GGGCCCGCACAAGCGGUGGAGUAUGUGGUUUAAUUCGAUGCAACGCGAAGAACCUUACCAGGGUUUGACAUCCUGCGAAUCUCUUGGAAACAGGAGAGUGCCUUCGGGAACGCAGUGACAGGUGGUGCAUGGCUGUCGUCAGCUCGUGUCGUGAGAUGUUGGGUUAAGUCCCGCAACGAGCGCAACCCACGUCUUUAGUUGCCAGCAUUUAGUUGGGCACUCUAGAGAGACUGCCGGUGAUAAGCUGGAGGAAGGUGGGGAUGACGUCAAGUCCUCAUGGCCCUUACGUGUUGGGCUACACACGUGCUACAAUGGUAUAUACAACAGGAAGCAAGACGGCGACGUUAAGCAAAUCCUCAAAAGAUACCUCAGUUCGGAUUGCACUCUGCAACUCGAGUGCAUGAAGCUGGAAUUACUAGUAAUCG